AUUGAACGCUGGCGGCAGGCCUAACACAUGCAAGUCGAGCGGAGCGGCGGACGGGUGAGUAAUGCCUAGGAAUCUGCCUGGUAGUGGGGGAUAACGUCCGGAAACGGGCGCUAAUACCACAUACUAUCAGAUGAUCCUAGGUCGGAUUAGCUAGUUGGUGGGGUAAAGGCCUACCAAGGCGACGAUCCGUAACUGGUCUGAGAGGAUGACCAGCCACACUGGAACUGAGACACGGUCCAGACUCCUCCGGGAGGCAGCAGUGGGGAAUAUUGCACAAUGGGCGCAAGCAUGAUGGAGCCAUGCCGCGUGUAUGAAGGAGGCCUUCGGGUUGUAAAGUACUUUCAGGGGGGAGGCGUUACCCGCAGAAGAAGCACCGGCUAACUCCGUGCCAGCAGCCGCGGUAAUUC
rnacentral:rRNA from 1 species